rnacentral:tRNA from 1 species
UCUUUCUUAGCAGAUUAGUGUGUUAAAUUUAGAAUUUAAAGGAGCGAUAAAAUCGCAGAAAGGA